AGUGUUGACGUUGAUGUCACAGAAGGGAGAGCAAGUUAGUUGCCAUGGAAACCACUUAGCGAUCACAGGAACAGGCUGCUGAUAGAAGAGAGGCUUGCGCCCCUCCUCUUUCUGGCUCACUUGUUCCCCUUGUGAUGUUUUGCUGUCUUGGGAGGCAGCAUGAAGACCCUCACCAAGUUCAGCCCCUCUGUCUGGGGCUGCACAGCCUCUAGAAUAAACCUGUGUUCUUCAGAAAUUAUUCCACCUACAGGAUUCGGUUACAGCUUCACCAGACUGAGGUCCCUAAGCCAGACUCCGGGCCUCAUCCUUGACUUUGACUCAACUCUUCCCACUGCCCCCCACCCCUCCACGCCCUCGUGACUCUCUGGACAGCCAUGGUCCACCUGGGUGGUGAAGACAGGACGAUUGUGAUUUCAAGGUGGGCUACAUAGCAAAAUACUGUCUUAAAACGUCACAUAAAUAAAUAAUGAGAUCAAGUCCCUGCUCUCAUUAUGCCUGCUUGAUGGUGAGUGGCAGUCAAUAAAAGAUCUUUGUCAAAACAAA